rnacentral:tRNA from 1 species
GGAGGCAUGGCUCUAUAGUAGAGCACCUGCCCAGCAAGUGUGAGGUCCUGAGUUCAAAUUCCAGUACCACCA